rnacentral:rRNA from 1 species
AGGAGUUGCUCUGCCUUGCUCGCUUGACCGCAGGCUAGGUGGGGAGGAGAGACCGGUUCUCGGGUCUCCCGGCUUCGGCCGGCUCGCCUUUUCGGCGGGCGGGUUGAGGUCGGGUGAGCCUUGCGGCCUGAGCUCGUCUGCUCGGUGCCGAUGACGCCAUGUCCGGCCUGGUCGGAGCCCUCGGCUCUCCAGGCUCGCUGGCGGCCCUUGGUGGGAUGGUGAUGAUGAUGAUUCUUCGUCGUCGUUUUCUGCGUCCUGCCUCGGGUUUGAAUGUGCACCUGCCCCCCCCCAGUGGAGGGUUGUGAGAAGGAAAAGGUGAUGGAGUUUCUUAGCUGUGGUGCUUGGUGGUGAGGUGGAUGGGUGGCCUGGCUGGCUUCGUCGCCGGUUGGGGCUGCCCGUCCGCCUCCCCCUUUGCUCCUGAACAAAGAAAAUAUCACACCGUACAGUGGAUCACUUGGCUCGGGGGUCGAUGAAGAACGCAGCUAGCUGCGAGUCGGAAUGUGAACUGCAGGACAUAUGGAGCAUCGACACUUUGAACGCACAUUGCGGACAUGGGCUUGUCCCCUGUCCAUGUCUGGCUCAGGGUCGGCUUUACAUCCAUCCAGCUUGAUUGCUGGCUUUGGGGUUUGUCUCCUCGGCUCGGCUUAGCUUCGAUGCUGAGGAGUCCCCCUAAGAUGCGCCGCCUGCCUAGCCGGAGGUGAGCUCCUUGCUGACUCUUGGGUGUGACUCUGCGUCUGCCUGGGUUGGCGAACUGAAGGGGGCUCGCUUCUGGUGGCGGGCUUGCGGGAGGGGGGGUUUUCUGGUUCCCCCGCCCGAACUGGGCUGCGAUGGACGGCUGGCCUUCCGAAAGGAGGGCUGGCCGCCCUUCGCCGCCUUGCUGUUU